rnacentral:lncRNA from 1 species
UGAUCUACUUGGAGUACAAGGCAAGCCAGAAUAUUUCCUACUCUAACCUAUGUUUCCUAAUACAAUCACGUUACUCAACAUUGUAGAAGUGCAUGCUCUAGCCAAUGCAACCAAAAGACCAAUCUAAGGGAGAGGGCCGGACGACAUUACACUCCAACACUCCCCCUCACGUCUAUGCUUCUUUGAAGCUAUAUGACGUGGGCAGCGGAAGCGGGGGCAGGCCGCAAUUAUUAAUUGCGAUUACUGGGUUUUGAACCCUGAACCUCUUGGUUGUAAGUUUAUGCACCUAACCAGUUCACCCAUCAGACCGAUCUGAUGGAAGAGACUAGGCAGCACAUUAUACGUCAACACUUCCCCUCACGUGUGGCUCCCUCAGGCCUAAACAUGGACCGAAAGUGGGCUGCAAUUUUAAUUGCGCCAACCGGGUCUUGAACUCAAGACCUCUUGGCUCCGAUACCAUGUAGAAGUGCAUGCUCUAGCCAAUGCAACCAAAAGACCAAUCUAAGAGAGAGGGCCGGACGACAUUAUACUCCAACACAACCUAACGUGGGCCACCUCGACCGCUUCUUCUGGCUCGUUGCUGCGCUUAGCUCGUUGAAUCUAGCGGUUUUUGUCUGUUGUGCGAAGAGAUACAAAACCUCGAAGCAGGCUUGUUAGAUAUAAUCUUGAUUUUUAUGUAUCUGCAUGUUUAUUUGUCCGUCUUGCUAAGUCUCAAUCGACUAAGACUUCGUUAAGUCUCAAUCGAUGUUAUAUCCGUGAGAUCCUAUAUAGAUUCAUGCCAAAAAAAUUAGUUUUUUUUCUCUCUUGCAUGUUAUAUCGCUUGACUGAGACUUGGUUAAAUUAGCCAGGCCUUUUAUUUACUGUGUGAGUUAGUCAUGUAGGGCCAAUGCAUAUUAGGUGACUCGGCUGGCAUGUAUUGAGGAGUUGCCGAAGUGCCGUGUGACGCGGGCAACAACGCCUGUGUGUGCGUGUUGUAAAGUAGUUUGGGAAGCGUAGAAUCCUUUGUCUCGGGCUGCGUUGUAUAUAUUGAGGCAAUGCCUUGGUGCACACGUUUACAUAGAGAAACCGAUCGCGCGCGCGAGAGAGAGAGAGAUCGGUUGAGAGGAGAUCGACCAGGAGGAGGUCGUUACAAGGGAUAAGGAGAAGAAGAGAUAGAGUUGAGAUACAAGUUAAACACCUCUCCUAUCCCUAUACAAUAAUUCUAACACUCCCCCUCAAUCUAAACCUCAAGCCUUGCUACGGUUGAGAUUGUACUUGAACUCGUCUAGUCUUCUCCCGGUCAAGGGUUUAGUGAACCCAUCCGCAAGUUGAUCCCCUGUGGGAAUAAACCGGAUCUCAAGCAGCAUUCGAGCUACUCUCUCUCUCUGACAAAAUGGAAAUCCACUUCAAUAUGUUUUGUUCAUGCAUGAAAAACAUGAUUUGCUGAAAGGUAAGUUGCACCAAUAUUGUCACACCACAACCAUGCAGCUUUUGGAGCUUUAAUCCCAAGCUCAUAAAGUAAUGUUUGUAUCCACAUCACUUCAGCUAUAGCAUUCGCCAACGACUUGUAUUCAGCCUCCGUACUGGAUCUUAAAACAGUAGCUUGCUUUCUUGCACUCCAUGACACAAGAUUAGAUUCGAGAAACACAACAAAACCACCAGUAGAUCUCCUAUCAUCAGCACACCCUACCCAGUCUGCAUCAGAAUAUGCAGUAACAAGCAAGGAAGAGGACUUGCCAAUCUGAAGUCCAAGCCCUUGAGAAUACUGGAGAUACCUUAGAAUUCUUUUAACUAAUGCCCAAUGAGUAGUUCUAGGAGCAUGCAAAUAUUGACAUACCUUGUUUACUGAAUAAGAGAUAUCAGGACGUGUAAGAGUCAAAUACUGCAAGGCACCUACAACACUUCUAUAAUUUGUUGCAUCCUCUGGACCCAGAGCUUCUCCACUGUCAACUAUAAGCUUUUCUGAGAUGAAGAUUGGUGUACUGACUGGUUUGCAAUUCUCCAAUCCCACCCUCUUUAGAACAUCAGCUGUAUAUUUCUCUUGUGAUAGAAGUAUUCCAUCUCUGAUCUGCUUUACCUCUAUGCCAAGAAAGUAGUGAAGAUCACCUAGAUCCUUGAGAGCAAAUUCAAGCUUUAAAUCCUUAAGCAAACAAGUAGUGGCCUCUUGACUUGAACUAGCAACAAUUAUAUCAUCAACAUAAACAAGGACAAAAACAGUGAUAUUGCCUUUGCUAUAAAAGAACAAGGAUGUAUCUGCCUUGGAUGAUGUGAAGCCAAGAUGCUGUAGCUGCAUGCUCAACCUAGAAUACCAUGCUCUUGGAGCCUGCUUCAGGCCAUAUAAGGAUUUAUCCAACUUACAUACAUAAUGUGGUGUGCUGUGAUUUUCAUAACCUGGUGGUUGCCGCAUGAACACUUCUUCCUCAAGAACACCAUGAAGAAACACGUUCUGAACAUCCAACUGUCUUAAGCUCCAUCCUCUGGAAACAACAAUGAACAAAACAAGACGGAUAGUAGUUGCUUUAACCACAGGACUAAAGGUAUCAUCAUAAUCAAUUCCAAACCUUUGCUUGAAGCCCUUUGCAACCAACCUUGCCUUAUAUCUGUCUAUACUGCCAUCUGAUUUACUUUUAAUCUUGUAUGCCCAUUUACAGUCAAUUAUAUUAGCACCAUGUUGCGGUGGUACUAGAUGCCAAGUCUGAUUUUUUAUGAGUGCAUUAUAUUCAUUAUCCAUGGCUUCCUUCCAAUCCUUAUUAGCAAGAGCAUCAUGCAGAUUAAUAGGUUCACCAGUAGUGGCAAGAAAAGCACGCUUGGUCGGAUUAUACCUUAUUGUACCAUCACUCUAUUGUUUUUCUUUGACAAUACCUGACCGAGACCUGGUGUUUCGACGAAGAGGUGAAGGAGCCAGAGAAACAGUUUCUGUUGGUUGUGGCGCAGGAGAUCUUGCUGAUACGGUGUUGUGCACAGAAGAUCCAGGCAGAUCGGGCUCCUGAUCCGAGAAGGAUUGACGCUGCUGGUGCUGCUUCUCAUCUGAUGCGCAGCCAGAGCCGACCGGCGAAUCAGAACCACCUGGCGGGUCCCGCGUUGUCACAGCAGAACUGGCAGGACCGGUCGGUGGGUCCCAAGGCGACGUGGCAGCCAGGGACUCGCCCCCCCGCACCUCGCUCGAUGGGCGUCUCGGGGCGCGCUGGCGGAGAUUGGCGCGACGCGCCUGGACUGGUGCGACCCACCUGGUCGGCUGCGCUGCUGUCGGCCACCAGGGGGCGCAGGAGCGGAUCUGCGCUGGAUCGCGCACCUGUAGUCUGACGCGAAUCCGGCUCGGAUCACGCGCUGGCAGCAAGAUCAGCAUCGGAGUCCGGUGCUGUUUUGUCCUGUGUGCACAUAAAAUGACAGGUAGAAUCUGCACAAAAGGUAUUAGAAACGCAAUUUUCUUUGGAUUUUUGCACAUGAUCAUGAUCAGUUAAUUCACCCCUGUGAUCAGGACGUGUAUCAGAGUCGGAGAGAAGUGCAAUUUCUGCACGAAGCAAAGCACCCGCAUUGGGUUGAAGUUUGGAGAAAGGAAAUAGUGUCUCAUCAAAAAUAACAUCCCGAGAGAUAUAGAUGCGUCCGGUAGAUGGUUCAAGACAUUUGUAACCUUUAUGAAGAUUACUGUACCCAAGAAAAACACACUGUGUGAAACGAAACUCAAGUUUGUGAUGAUUGUAUGGACGUAAAUUGGGGUAACAAGCACACCCAAUUUUUUUGAGAUAAUUGUAAUAUGGCUUUUGGUUACACAAUCAUUCUAAAGGGGUAGAAUUUCCAGUAACCUGGGAAGACGAUUGAUAAGAUAUGUAGCUGUGAUAAAGGACUCAUCCCAAUACUUGAGAGGCAUGGACGCAUGAGCUAAAAGAGAGAGACCAACUUCGACAAUAUGGCAGUGUUUGCGUUCAGCAGAGCCAUUCUGCUGAUGAGCAUGAGGACAAGACACAUAAUGGGUGAUCCCAAUACUACGGAAAAAGGAGUUGAGUGUUUCAUACUCCCCUCCCCAAUCACUUUGGACUGCUAUGAUUUUCUUAUCAAAGUGUCUCUCAACAAGUUUCUAAAAUUCUUGAAAGAUGGAGAAAACUUCAGAUUUAUACUUGAGCAAAUAAAUCCAUGUAAACUUGUUGUAAUCAUCAAUGAAGCUAACAUAGUAUUUUUUUGACCAAAAGAAUCUCGGGCAUGACCCCAUACAUCACUGAAGAUCAAUUGUAGGGGAGCAUGUGAAACACUAGUAGACUUAGGAUAGGGAAGCUGAUGGCUCUUGGCACAUUGACAUGCUUCGCAAACAGACUCAUUAUUGGAACUAAGUGACAAAGGAAGGUUGUCUUUAUUGAUUAUUUGCCUAACUAUGACUGAUGAGGGAUGACCUAAUCUUUGAUGCCACCUCGCCAAAGAGGGCUUGAUGACGGAGUAGACUCGACGAUGCGUGUUGCGAAGUGCUCCGGAUGAGAUAGGGUAGAGGCCGCCAACACAUCUACCGUGAUAAAGAAGUUCCCUCGUUGCCCGGUCCUUAAUGAAAAAAUAGCGAGGAUGAGUCUCAAAGAAAACAGUGUUAUCAGUGGCUAAACGAGACAUAGAUGCAAGGUUUUUAUCAGCUUGAUGAACAUGGAGAACAUCCUUAAGAACUAGAUCACGUUGAAGGUUAGGGGAAUUAAGCGAAACUUGACCAAUAUGACAAAUAUCCAUACCUUUACCACUGGCGGUGUGGAUCUGAUCGGUGCCAUGGUACGUCUCGCGCAGGGCAAGUUGCUCUAACUUAUUUGUGACAUGGUCCAUAGCGCUGGAGUCAACAUACCAAACGCCAUCCCCGCCUUACUCGCGCAUAGCAGCUGCAACCAAACGAGCAUCCAGGACGAAGUUUUCAUCAUACCGAUGCCAACAGUCGAUGACCUCGUGCUUCUUGCAGAGCUGACAGCGAGGACGACCACGUGAUGAGGAGGGGCGGCGGCCUGUGUUGGAGUUGAAGCCGCCACCCCCAUGGUUGUUGCCGUAGCCGCCGCCCUUGGUGUUGUGGCUGUAGGUGCCACCAGAGCGUGCGCCAUCGCCCAAAGAGGAGCCACGGCCGCGACCACCGGCACGGUUGCCUCCCUGGUGACCACGGCCAUGGCCGCGACCCCGUGAAGCGGAGUAUGCAGAUGAUUGCCGGAGAUCGCCGCCGUGGAGGAGGGUGAGGCGGGCAUCAAAACUGAGGAGCUGACUGUGCAGCUCUGGAACCGUGAUUGGUUCCACUCGUGCAGCAAGAGCAGAGACGACAGGGUUAUAUUCCAUGUCAAGGCCAGCAAGGAUCUUGGAGACAAUCUCCGGAUCGGAGAGCGCCGAGGCCGUGCACGCGACUUCAUCUGUGAGCGUCUUGAUCUUGCCGAGGUACUCUGCCAUGGACAUAUUACCUUUUUAAGGUUGGUGAGCUCGAUGCGGGUGUUGAUCGCCUGCGCUUGGCUCUGAGAAGCAAACAUGUCGUUGAUGGCACGCCACACCGUGGCCGGCGUCUGGAGCGUGGCCACCUGAGAAAGAAUCUCGCGGGAAAAAGAACCCAUCAAAAACCCUUGAAGUUGUUGCUGUUGGGCAUACCAGAGAGUGCGGGCGAAGUUGGCGACUUGCUCUUCUUUGCCAUCCUUGGUGAUGGUGAGCAUGGCCGGUGGCGGUGGGCUUGUUGCAUCGAGGUGGUGCUCCAUCUGGGCACCCUUGAUCUGGGGAAGCACGAUGGCUUUCCAAAGGAGGAAGUUCCCCCUGGUCAGCUUCUCCUGUGGCGGCGAUCCGAGAAAGGAGUUCGUGGCUGUGGAUGAUGAGGCAAAGGUGGAGGUGGAGGAGGUGGUGGUGAUCGCGCCCAUGGUGCUGGGCGACGUGGAGGCGGAGGUGGUAGACAUGGCUCGGUCGCGUAGGUAGCUAGAUGUGAUCUCUUUCGAUCUGAUGAGGAAGAGGCUCUGUUACCAUGUAAAGUAGUUUGGGAAGCGUAGAACCCUUUGUCUCGGGCCGCGUUGUAUAUAUUGAGGCAAUGCCUUGGUGCACACGUUUACAGAGAGAAACCGAUCGAGAGAGAGAGAGAGAGAUCGGUUGAGAGGAGAUCGACCAGGAGGAGGUCGUUACAAGGGAUAAGGAGAAGAAGAGAUAGAGUUUAGAUACAAGUUAAACACCUCUCCUAUCCCUAUAUAAUAAUUCUAACACGUGUGUCAUAUAAGUUGUCACCAUGUUUUCUUUGUGUUAAGAGAAAGAGAGAAGAAAAGAGCUCGGCUGUGUAAUACAACAGCUCACCAAACAUCCUUGUCUCCAUUGUUCUUGAGUUGGCUGUGAUAGGCAGUCGAGAGAGGACGGAGCUGAGAGAGUUAGCUCAAACAAGACUUUCGCCAGAAAUGACUCUUCUAAUGGUGCUGAUACAUAAAAGGCAAAGAAUUCAUUGUUGGUUUUUUAAGGGUUUGAGGGUUUCAUUGUUGGAUGUGGCUCGCCAAUGCCUACACACCCGUUUGUACGAUCAAGCGCCUAUAUCAUAAAUAAAAUGACAUCUUAAAAGGUGCGGCUGGUCUCUCAUAUGCCUUUCACAAAAAGAAAACACCCUGGUCUCCCCAUGAUAUCUCUCCUGAGCCCACGUGAUUUUGGGACGUUACCUAAUAAAUCAACCAAGACCGUGUCAAUACUUUUUCUGAUACUAUAUUUUCCUACCUGAUGGAGCUAAAUUUUAUACCUUUGGGUUAGCUGCGGUUUGUUGGGCUAUUUGAAAUUGCUGCAACUGGGUUGCAUUCGAGCAUAAAGUGCUAAAGACUCCUUUUGAUGUGGUUUUCUCUAUUUCUGGAUUUCUUACUUACUGGGCAGGUAUGAUGAUUGGAGCUGACCGCGAAGGAAUGGAGUAUGGUGCCAAGAUGCUUAGGGCCAAUGUGUCGACUAUGAUGAGGAUUUGUGCGGCUCUAGUUGAUCCAAUGAUGGAUUGAUGCGAGCUUUCAUACGCUGCUGCAACAGAGCCUUGCCUUACCUAGAUGCAUUUUGGUCUGGCGGUUUUGCCCCUACGUGGGCUUUUGCUUUUAGCUCACUUUGUGAGCCUUGUCUUUGCUUGCACCUUUUUUUGCUGGACUAUCCCCUGUUAGGCUAGCUAUUGGAGUACGUGUCACUAGAUUUUCAUGCAUGGUGAGUUGCUCGAUGACGAGCGCUCACAGUGGGUUUUCUGAUGAUGCUUGGAACUCGUUUUUCCCUUUUUAGUUUCCUUUGAACUAUAUUGGGGCAGUUGUAUUUCCAUAAUUUCGUUAUGAAAGUAAUGAAAAGGGGUUAUGCCUAGUUUAAAAAAUAAAUCAAUCUUCCUUCAUGAGGACCAUAGUAGAGGUCGGUUACUUCUACUUCCACCAGUUACAUAUAUGGAGCUGACGGUUCUGAGCAAUAGCAGAGGUCGGCGAGACGGACACGAAUGUGGAGAGAGACGCGUUGCCUUCC